UACAGAGGGUGCAAGCGUUAAUCGGAAUUACUGGGCGUAAAGCGUGCGUAGACGGUAGCGUAAGUCGGGUGUGAAAGCCCCGGGCUCAACCUGGGAAUUGCAUUCGAGACUGCUCUGCUAGGGUGCGGAAGAGGGAAGCGGAAUUUCCGGUGUAGCGGUGAAAUGCGUAGAUAUCGGAAGGAACACCAGUGGCGAAAGCGGCUUCCUGGUCCAGCACCGACGUUCAGGCACGAAAGCGUAGGGAGCAAACAGG
rnacentral:rRNA from 1 species